rnacentral:misc_RNA from 1 species
GACGCGAACAGACCUUAGAGCAUUGGUUGCGAACGGGUGCGGACGUGUUCCGUGUUAACGAAAUUUUUGAAUCGUCCCAAUCGUCCCAUAUCCUCGGAGGAACGGGAAUCAUUAAAAAGAAGAUCAUUGCUUAUUCAGGCCGAAUCGUCUCUCAUAAACAGAGGGACGAGAGCCUUAAGGAAAAGAAAAUCAUUGCUUAUUUCGAUAUUUUCAAUUUCUAAAGAGGUUCGAUUACGUGUACAAAAGCUAUGGAUACACACAUAUUGCGAUACAUUUAAAUUUCAAUAAUGCACGUUGAAAAUCUUUUAUAUUCGAAUAAAUAUGAUCAUAAUUAUGUUGACAAAUUUAUAAAUAAAUUGGAUAUUAUAAUUAAAUUAAAAAGUAUAUUGAUUAACAGUGAAAAAUGAUGCAAUUGGAAACAAAUUAUUGCUGCAAAGAUAAGAUAUCAUCAACCGUUACCAGAUGUUCCGAACUAGAUCCUGCUCUCUCUCUGGAAUUAGAAAAAAUUAUCGAGAAGAUCAGUGCGCCUAAAAAAGGACUAUUGGCCUGUGACGAGUCACCUGCGAGUCUAGAACAAAGAUUUCAAGAAAUCGGUAUAGAUAAUACAGAGUCUACGAGACGUGCUUAUCGAGAAAUAUUGUUGUCCGCGGACAAGUCUCAAUUCUCGCAAUAUAUAAGCGGCGUGAUUCUGCAUCAUGAAACGAUCUAUCAGAAAACGUCGGAAGAUGUAGAAUUUGUUAAAUUUUUGCGUCGAAGAAAUAUUAUAGCCGGUGUAAGAGUUGAUCGAGGUUUAGUGCAUCUUUUCGAUACCGAAGACGAGAAAACUACGCAGGGUUUGGAUAAUUUACAGGAGAAUUGUAUUCGAUACAAACAGGAAGGCUGUCACUUUGCCAAGUGGAGAUGUGUUUUUUCGAUUUCGGAACGAUGUCCUAGUCAGUUGGCGAUGAUUACCAAUGCAAAUGUUCUUGCAAGAUUUGCCAGUAUCUGCCAAAGAGCACGAAUGGUUCCUAUAGUAGAACCAGAAGUAUUAAACAGUGGCGAAUAUUGUAUACAUCGAGCUUUGCAAGUUCACGAAGAAAUGCUAUCUAUCUUGUUUCGUACUUUGAAUAAAUAUCACGUGUAUCUUGAAGGAAUGAUUUUGAAGCCAGCGAUGGUACUGUCGGGUAUAAAAAAUGCAGUAAGAUGCACGCCGCAGAUUGUUGCCGAGUAUACACUAAAAGCAUUACGAAGAACAGUACCUACGGCCGUUCCAGCAAUUUUUUUUCUAAGUGGCAGUCAAACAGAUGAAGAAGCCGUGUUAAGUCUAAAUACCAUUAGCGCGUAUAGUAAUAAAAAACCAUGGAGGCUCAGUUUCUGUUAUGGACAUGUUCUACAGAGUUUGAGAGGAACAGAGAAACAUAUGCUCAUUAUCAUCAUUAUUAUUAAAUCAAUUAUCAAUUUAAUAUUGAUAUUACUAAUCUGAUUCAUCUUAUAGCUGUUUUAAGACCGAAAAUUUUAUUCAGCGCAUAGUUCAGUGAACUUUGAAAGAAUGCGGCGAUGAAAAUUUGGAAAAACAAUCCGGAAAAUGCAGACAAAGUUCAAACAAUGUUUCUUAAAA